AGGACGAACGCUGGCGGCGUGCUUAACACAUGCAAGUCGAGCGGAAAGGCCCUUCGGGGUACUCGAGCGGCGAACGGGUGAGUAACACGUGAGUAAUCUGCCCCUAGCUCUGGGAUAGCUCCGGGAAAACCGGGAUUAAUACCAGAUACGACCACUUUAGACAUCUGCUGUGGUGGAAAGAAUUUCGGCUAGGGAUGAGCUCGCGGCCUAUCAGCUUGUUGGUGAGGUAACGGCUCACCAAGGCGACGACGGGUAGCCGGCCUGAGAGGGCGACCGGCCACACUGGGACUGAGACACGGCCCAGACUCCUACGGGAGGCAGCAGUGGGGAAUAUUGCGCAAUGGGCGAAAGCCUGACGCAGCGACGCCGCGUGGGGGAUGAAGGCCUUCGGGUUGUAAACCCUUUCAGCAGGGACGAAGCGAAGUGACGGUACCUGCAGAAGAAGCGCCGGCUACUACGCGCCAGCAGCCGCGGUAA
rnacentral:rRNA from 1 species